UUCAACAAACUGUUUCUCAUAGACUUGUUUACAGAACUGUCAACUUUGCUUUCUCUUAAUCUAGCCUUUGGUCUAUGUUUUUAUAAGCAAGAAUCACAUGCUCUGUAAAAGUUCUGCACCACUUGGAAGGAAAACUAAAACAAUCCAUCACUUGUCAGGAUUACUGAACCAACUUGUGAAAGAACCACAGAGGGAUGGCAGAGGAAUUGGAAAUCUUGUUCUUUCUUUCAGCUCCAUCUUGAGCUCUUUCCUCUCCUGCUGCACCUGUUUCUCCUGCACACGAGCAUUGUCAACUGCCACCUUAAGCAGGCCCUGCACAAAAACAUCACUUUAAUAUAUACAGCAAAAUUAAAACGCUGUAUUCAUCAUGAGCAUCCAUACCUGAAUGUUGGUGAGCAAUGUCUCAACAGAGGAGAGGCCCUCAGUGAAGAGGAAUGGAGUGGGAAAGCCUGGAGGAAGAGUCUGAGUACCCAGAGGAAGCUUCUCAAAACCUGACUUC